UACGUAGGGUGCAAGCGUUGUCCGGAAUUAUUGGGCGUAAAGAGCUCGUAGGCGGUUUGUCGCGUCGAAUGUGAAAACCCGGGGCUCAACCCCGGGCCUGCAUUCGAUACGGGCAGACUAGAGUUCGGUAGGGGAGUCUGGAAUUCCUGGUGUAGCGGUGAAAUGGCGCAGAUAUCAGGAGGAACACCGAUGGCGAAGGCAGCUCUGGGCCGGUACUGACACUGAGGAGCGAAAGCGUGGGUAGCAAACAGG
rnacentral:rRNA from 1 species